UUGGUUUCGUGGGCCUGUUUUUGCCGAGCUGCUGCCGGCAGUCGCGUUGUUUAGCAGGGAGCGGCGACAGGACGAGGUGCCCGCCUGAAACUCAAAAAGGGUGUUUUUAAUACCGGGAAGGAGCUGCUAGAGGUAACUGAAGUGCUGAUGUUCCGCUCCGAUCGGUGCCUUCAUGCUCUGCCGUGUGAGAGCCUUCCUGCGGACCGCGAGGUUUUACCGCUCCUGUUCCCGGAAACGGGCAGAGGACCCAGCGGGGUGACGAGGACCGGCAGCGUCGUGUACCCGCAGACUGAAAGCUUGAAAUAACAGCCUGGAAACGAACCGCCACGUCUCCUGAGCCGUCGGAGGGGCGGCGUGGUUUCCAGUGAGUGGUUUCGUGCCGUGGGCGCUGCGGGAGAAAGGGGAUGUCCCCUGCGAGCCGCUGGCGUGUCGCUGCCAGCAGCAGGAGCGGCCCCAGGCUGGCGGCGUGGGGCCGGGACAGCAGAGCUCCUUCCCCAGCCUUGCGGGGCCACGUCCUGGUGGAACAGGCACAAAACCGCGAUCUGGGGGAGUUUUCCUGAUCCCAGCUCUGCUGCGAGCUUCCUGCAGGCCCUGGCCGGGGGCUGGGUCCCCGCAACGUCCACCCGGGGCUGCUCUGAGCCCAGCUGCGCAACCGCUGCAGUGCCUGCCUGUCCUGGGGGAUAUUCCUGUGCUCGGUGGCCUUCAAGGCAGGUGCUUGCAAAGAGCCGGGUGAUUUCGAACGAGGUCUGUCCCCUGCCUUUCCUGCGGGCAGCCGUCUCGGUUAAACGCUGCCGUAUAAAUCAGCGGGGGGCUGUCUGCUCCUCCGGCAGCCGAGUCCAACCGAUUCCCAGCUCCCCGGGGCCGGGAUUGGGCUCAAACCUCCUUGCAGAGCGACGGGAAGUCGCUGGGAGGGAGGGGAAAGGACGGGAUGGGACACGGGCAAACGUGGCCGAAGGCUGGAAGGAGUGGGUUUGGGGAGGGGGGAGGUAAAAAUCGUCUGCUUGGCGUGGCGUUGGAGCUCGCCGACGGGGUCAC